rnacentral:rRNA from 1 species
GGGGAAUAUUGCACAAUGGGCGAAAGCCUGAUGCAGCGACGCCGCGUGAGGGAUGGAGGCCUUCGGGUUGUAAACCUCUUUCAGCAGGGAAGAGGCGAAAGUGACGGUACCUGCAGAAGAAGCACCGGCUAACUACGUGCCAGCAGCCGCGGUAAUACGUAGGGUGCAAGCGUUUUCCGGAAUUAUUGGGCGUAAAGAGCUCGUAGGCGGUCUGUCGCGUCUGCUGUGAAAACUCGGGGCUUAACUCCGGGCUUGCAGUGGGUACGGGCAGACUAGAGUGCGGUAGGGGAGACUGGAAUUCCUGGUGUAGCGGUGAAAUGCGCAGAUAUCAGGAGGAACACCGGUGGCGAAGGCGGGUCUCUGGGCCGUAACUGACGCUGAGGAGCGAAAGCGUGGGGAGCGAAC